rnacentral:RNase_P_RNA from 1 species
GCAGGCUGAACAGCUGCGGGCGCUAGGCGAAAGUAGGCGUCUGAGGAAAGUCCGAGCUCCAAAGGGCAAGAAUAACGGCUAACGGCCGCCGGGGGUGACCCCAGGGAAAGUGCAACAGAGAUAUACCGCAUGCCUUUUUGGCGUGUAAGGGUGGAAAGGCGAGGUAAGAGCUCACCAGCGUGCGGGGAACUGCACGGCUCUGCAAACCCUAUUCGGAGCAACACCGCAGAGGGACAAAUGCGUCGGCCCGGCGUGUCCCGUGGAGGUGGCAUGAGCUGCGGCGGUAACGCCCAGACCAGAUAGAUGGCUGUUCACGACAGAACUCGGCUUACAGGCCUGGUCG